UCCAGAGAGCAGGUUGUGGAUUUAAGCUGUGAAGUGACUUUAGAGCAUUGAAAUCGAUCAUCUCAAAGGUGGACAUUCUGCUUUUAGCAUUGCUGUAUGGUGACAGUGUAGCCAAACCAACACAAUAUUACCCCAAUUGAAGAUAAAUGGCCCCUCUAGAUAACUCCUCUGGAAUGAGACCCUCCCCGCAGUUCCAACACUAAAAGCCAAUGUCACAUGACAACUCAGUGGUGCUGCAGUUCACAGAAGCACAUGCUGCAGAGAAUGGCUCACAUGGAUACACGAACUGACUGUGCUGAAGCCGUACCUGUAUGUGGUCCCAGAGGCGGAAGUGGUCACAGUAUUGUUCAAGGUAUUUCCGCACCUCUGUGUGAUGGACAAAUGAAGGAAGAUGCUUCGCAAAGGGGAAGUCAGGGAAUGACAUCACCUCUUUGGGAAUAUUGGUUCUGUCAUAUGAGAAGAAUC